UGCUAUCGGAUUGAUACUAAGCCAUGCGAGUCAUUGUAGCAAUACAGGGCAUACGGCUCAGUAACGCGUAGUCAACCUAACCUAUGGACGGGAAUAACCUCGGGAAACUGAGAAUAAUGCCCGAUAGAACAUUAUGCCUGGAAUGGUUUAUGUUCCAAAUGAUUUAUCGCCGUAGGAUGGGACUGCGGCCUAUCAGUUUGUUGGUGAGGUAAUGGCCCACCAAGACUAUUACAGGUACGGGCUCUGAGAGGAGUAGCCCGGAGAUGGGUACUGAGACACGGACCCAGGCCCUAUGGGGCGCAGCAGGCGAGAAAACUUUGCAAUGUGCGAAAGCACGACAAGGUUAAUCCGAGUGGUUUCUGCUAAAGGAACCUUUUGUCAGUCCUAGAAACACUGAUGAAUAAGGGGUGGGCAAGUUCUGGUGUCAGCCGCCGCGGUAAAACCAGCACCUCAAGUGGUCAGGAUGAUUAUUGGGCCUAAAGCAUCCGUAGCCGGCUCUGUAAGUUUUCGGUUAAAUCUGUACGCUCAACGUACAGGCUGCCGGGAAUACUGCAAAGCUAGGGAGUGGGAGAGGUAGACGGUACUCGGUAGGAAGGGGUAAAAUCCUUUGAUCUAUUGAUGACCACCUGUGGCGAAGGCGGUCUACCAGAACACGUCCGACGGUGAGGGAUGAAAGCUGGGGGAGCAAACCGGAUUAGAUACCCGGGUAGUCCCAGCUGUAAACCAUGCAAACUCAGUGAUGCAUU
rnacentral:rRNA from 1 species